GCGGUUUCUCCUUUUACUACAAGACGACUACACGAGUUUAACUCACGAGUCUCCUUUCUCUCCGAUUACAAAAUUUUCAACGUAUACUAUUUCGAUCCACCUACACACCGAAGGACCUGUAUGUAUUUGGUUGACGGCUUUCCAGGGAUGACCCACCCCUCUCCGCACCAUUCGCCGCACCGUCGCUUACAGGGAUUUCCUCGAAAAUGGCGCUUUUUAUUACGGGAUUCUUUCCGACUAUAUUAACGACAAAUUUUUUCCAAGAUAUAUAUAUUUUUUCAAGCCUUUGGUCCUUGUCAUCUUUGUAAUCGCAGUCAUCGAUCGUCAUCUUCGUCGUGUCAUCCGCGUCGCUUUAAUUGCUCGUGCUACUUAUGGAAAAA
rnacentral:lncRNA from 1 species